AACUUCUAGAGCGCAUGCGUUUCGCCCACCCAGGCCCGGGCGCGGUUAGGGGUGACUCCCACGAUCCCUAGCGGCUGCAGAGUGGAACAUGGCGGCCUCCUUGCCGCUUGCGUUACCAGAGUCCACCCGGCCUCGUGCUUUCUCCGGGCGCCCGUAGCUGGCGCCGGCAUCCACAAAAAUAGAUCAGACAGAGGAUGAAUAAAGAGGAAGCUCCAGGCUGUGAAGCGUCUAGUCCUUGCUCCCCUCAGAAGCUGGGACAUGUUGGACCAAGGUGGUAAGGAUAGUGAGAGGCCAAAGAUUUAACAAUAUACUGUGAUGCUGGGGCUGGGAGGAGAUUGCACCUUUAUAGCCUGGUGGUGGCAGUCCAGAGUGCAACCCCUAGAGAUGGUAACUUGACAAGACCUCUCAAAAACACUACACACAGCUUUUGAGCCCCUCAUCCCACUUCUGAGAGUAAGUCCUAUGGCAACAUGUGCACACGUGGAAAAUGAAGUCUGUACAAGUUUCCCAGAAGCUGGACAAGCCACGACGGCGCCUUCCAAUAAAAGGGGAACUCCAGAGACGCUAUGAGAAAAGAGGAACAGACAUCUGCAAUAGAUAUCUGCAACUUCCUUUUCAAAAACACCAUCGGCAUUGCUUUCUCAGGAAGCCACUGCCAGCCUAUUGUGAUAGCUGACACUGAGUUCCUGAGAAUUCUCUAAUUAGGAUCCCAGAUUGGAGGGUCAGCCAGUGGUUAACAUAUAAUGGACACAAAACUGAUUUUACUGGAAGACUGAGGGUGGGCACUCACCAUGGUUCUAAGCAUUCAUUACUCAGAAGAUCCAUAAAAACAUUACAGUUCUGUUGUGUAAGAGUUUAGGAAAAAAAGAAAAUCCUGACAAAAAUCCCAACCUAAAAAACAGUGUCAACAUUUGUAAGUAGGAUGGGGAGGCAGAGAUGAAUUGGCAGUGUUAUCACAGCUACUGGACUAUGUGGACUUUAACAAAGUAAGAAACGGGUGGGGGUUGGGUGGUGGUAUCUUAAUAGAGCAGGAGUAGAGACGGAUGUCCUGGGGCAGAAUGGGUACCAAUGCUGCCUGAAGCCUGGAGCUGGGAGCUGAGGACUAAGAGGUAGACAGGAGGGUGGGGACCGGUACCUGCUCCAAGGAACUGGUGCCCCAGAACUGGUGAGCUGGGGUAUGCAUUUAGCUCAUUCGUUUACCAGAAUGCAGUCACCACCUGAUGAAAGAAAUGACUAAUGGCAGGACUUGAACAGUUCUCUAUAAAUGAGUACCUGGGAGAAAAACAGGUCUCCAGGCUCCACAAUACCCAAUAAACACACUGCCUUUAGCCCACUUCAAGCUGCACUUCUUACAUGGAACCCAACCCAACCAACCUCAGAGGUAAGGGUGAGAGCAGGCAAUGAACAGCUAUGAUUCUCCAUUCCCUGGCCAGGCAGGGAGCCUUUCCAUCCACCCUCGUGAGACUGCUUGUAACAGAAAUAAGGAAACCGACUCCAAGGCUCAGUAACCCACCCAAGGUCAGAACCACGGAGUGGCAGGGCCUGUGAGCCACAAAGGAGACUGAAAACCAGAAAGAGCUUCUCUCUGGUCUGUUAUUUUAAGAAAAACAUGCCCAGAGGGGCCACCUGGAAGCAAGGCUGUGUGGCACCCUCACCUUCCUAAUUAAACAACAACUUCCCAGGAGCAACGACAGCAACAACAGCCUGGCCCAGCAGAUGAACUCGAAUCAAUCCAAGCCCUUCCCCUAUACGGGUCAGUUUGGGCACUACUUUACCUGCUGUGAAGUCUACUGGGAUCUUCCAGGAAAGUCCCACCUCAUUAGUAAAAAGAAAAACAAAGACUCGGGAAGAAAGUUCCUGCCCUCCCUGUUGAAUGCUGUGUGAGGAUAAGAUGUCUGGAGCAUGGCAGUCACCCUGUGACUAUCAGAAGGCCAGGCGUACCACAAGGUGGUCAUUCCAGUGCUCUGAAUCAGCCCCAAACCACUUCCCUCAAGACUCAUGUUCUGAGGUGAUUAAAAGUGUGCUUUGAAGGUAAAUCUAGGAUGACAGUCAACAGAUCAGUGAUUGCCAGGAGUCAGGGGUAGAGGGAGGGAAGAACAGAUGGAGCACAGAGAAUUUUUAGGGCAGUGAAAAUGUUCUGUAUGAUACUAUAUAUAAUGGAUACAUGCCAUUAUACACUUGUCCAAAUGCACAGAAUGUACACCACCAAGAGUGAACCCUAAUGUAAACUAUGGACUUUGGGUGAUCAUGAUGUGUCAAUGCAGGUUCGUCAAUUGCAACACACGUACCAUUCUAGUGGGGGGUGUUGAUAACAGGAGGCUAUGCAUGUGUGGGACCAGGGGAUAUAUGGGAAAUCUCUGUACAUGCCUCUCAAUUUUGCUGAGAAUCUGAAACUGCUCUUAAUGAAGUCUUACAAAAAUAAAGAAGUCUGCUUUGCCUUA
rnacentral:lncRNA from 1 species